UUUGAGAAGUUUAGUUUCACUGAUGUCGCUGCUUCAGAGGAAACUGAUAAGAAGGACGAGGUGGCAGAAAAUGCAGUUACUAAAAAGAAGGCUGGUUCUGAUUCUGACUCUGACGAUGAAGAAAACGAGCAAGAAGAAAAAGCUUCAAUGAAGAAUGAAAAUUGCUGAACUGAAACAAGUUAGUUCAAGACCUGAUGUUGUUGAGAUAAGAAUGUUUUAUAUAGUACAAUUAGUUUCAAGUUGUUGGGUCUCCGUUUCUUUCAAUGCCGUUUUGCAAAUGUUAUUGCAUAAUUUCCUUUUCAUUUUUCAGGUUUGGGAUGCUACUGCAGCAGAUCCAAAGUUGGUGAUGUUUUUGAAACCAAGGCAUUGGUGUCAAAAGAGAAAAUCUUUGCAGGUUAGUCAGCAUCCUGACUGGAUAAUUAUAGGUUAAUUUUUUUAUUAAUGGCAAAUGAUAAUUAUAGGUUAAUGAUGCAAGCAUGUCUGAUGGUUGUGCCCUGCAUGAGUGAUGUAGAAAUAGGGUGAGGACGAUGACGUCGAUAAGGUUUCUCUUAUAUAUGUAUGUAUGUGAUGCUUGCAGCGGAGCAGCUGUGGCAAUCACCAACCCUGGACUUGUAGGUGUUUGGAAAUGGGCAUUCCUUGAGUUUCUCUUUUGUUAUCUCUGGUAUAUUGAUUAGGAAUAUGGUGCUCAUACUUGUCUUAUGUUAUAUGACUGGGACCUAUAGUCAUAUGACAUUUUUGCAUAAUAUUAAUGGGCAUUUAUUUGUGACAAAGGUGCUAAUAGCUCUACUUUGAAUUUUCAGAUGCCUUUCCAUUGUGCUUAAUGCUCGGGCUGAAUUCGUCUUCAAUUUUUAAUGAUUGAUAUUACUUAGCUUCAUUAUAUAGUCGAUGCUGACAUAUAUUAAGUUAUUAGUUAUCUCAUCAGAAAUUAUGUCAUUGUUUUGGCAGGGGAAACAUGGUAUUGAGAAACAACCCUUUCAGCUUCCUGAUUUCAUUGCUUCCACUGGUAUUGAGAAAAUUAGACAGGUAAUCUGACCUGUUUGCUUCUAUGUGUGUGUGUGUGUGUGUGUGUUAUAUGUUAAAUGCAGAGUGACUCCCAGUGUGAUGAUAAAGGUACUAUUAAUUUAGUUUACCAUUGAGGCUUAUCUUUAGCUAUGAAGUGAAAAUAUUAACAACAUAUUGAUUUUGAGUUUGCAUACUUACAUCAUACAUUUUUAAUUUGCUUGGACAGUUUGCAUGCUCUGAUUGUUCCAUCCCAACAAGUGAGCUUAAUUGUUAUUCAAUUUCUCCAUUUUCUUUCUUCUUUUUCUUCCUGUGUUUUUCUUCCUAAUUUUGCGUGUAUCAUUGUUGCUUUUCAUCUUUAGAGGGUAAUAUAAAAGUUCAACUUCAGGAAAAAAAGAUAAAGGAUUAAUCCGAAGUCCCUUACUGCACAUUAAAUAUUGUAGUCCCUUACUUUAAAUUCAUGCCUUAAAUUUGCUAAAUGAUCACAUGGUCUAUCUUAACAAUUAACAUUUCCGAAUUUCAAUAACCAUAGUCUAUGAGUGAACCUCCAAUUCCCUGUUUUAAAUUGUGUUUUUAUUUUAACAAAAGGAUGCAUCUAACACUUGAUAGUGGAAAAUGUAUUUUGCAUAGAAAACCAAGGUCCCAGGAAAUUAGUGGGGAGCUUUACAUCUCUAGAGUGUGUUUUUAAAUUGUGCUUAUUCUCUGUAUGAGUGUAGCCAUAAGUGUAGCUUUCAAGUUUUCAAUAGAGGUUUUUAAAGAAUCCUCUUGAUUCCUUUUGUCAAAAGUGUUUUUAAUGAUAUAGAAUGUUUUCAUUUACUUUGAUGUUUCCACUUAGCUUCAAUAUGUUGGAUUCUAUUACUUUCUGUUUACAUCAAAUUUUUGUUUACUUCUUAAAUGGCCAUUAUUGAUUUGGCAAAGAUGAAAUAAUUUAUUUCUAAUCAUAUAUGUUUUAACCCAAUCAACCAAUCAUAUAUGUUUACUUUCACUUAAUUACUUUUUGUGUUAUCUCCUUUUUUGUUUACUUUUUAUUUAUGUAAAAAAAUUGGUCUUAAACACUCUUUCUAUGGAGAUUGAGUUAACGUCCAGUUUAGCAUUGUAUGGAAGACUAUGUUUAGGUACUAUAAGAUAUUGCUUAAAGGUGUUAACACAUUUUCUAUAUUUUGUCCUAGCUUCAAUAUGAUGAUUCUAUAACUUUCUAUUUACAUCAAAUUUUUACUUACUUUCUUAACAUUCACGUCUACUUAACAUCAGUGCCCUGCAAUUGGAAUAAAAAGUUACACCUGUUACAUGUCUUCUGUCCAUAUAGAAUAGACUCACUGCCUUAUUUAUUUUUUUACUUAAGAAGUUGCAAGACAUGGUGAAAAGGCAAAUGUUGAUAAAUAUGUAGUAGCAAAUAUAGGUGAUGGGAGGAAAUGAAGAUUAAAUAGAAGAGGUAGUUAUUAUAUAUGAAAAAAAGUGGUAGAAUGAAUGAGAUCAAUAAAACAGGUGGAAUCAAAGGUGGAAUCACUUCAAAACUGAGGUAAAGUUUUAGGAGUUGAUUUUAACAUUUUCCUUGACCAUCUUAGGAGUUGACAUGUGAUUCUAUUUAUUACUCAGGUCCAAUAUGAUGGAACAAUUUUUUGUAACAAAUGAUUUUGCUUCUCCUGUCAUUUUUUAUCCUUCAGCUUGGCAAAGUUGAAUAAAUAAUUUGGUUCAAUGAGAGUGUCUAAUUCUUUUACAUUAUAAGAUGGUAAAGAGGUCAUCCAACAACAUGGAAUCAAUUGGUAUUAGACAAUUUGCAGACAUGUAUUUAAUAUUAUAUUUGGAGUGGUUACUGAAAUUUGAGUUCCUAUAUGAAGAAUUAAUGGAUAUGAAUGAACUCAAAUGCUCAUAUAUUUCUCUCAUAUUCUGUUUAACAUGUGUUUUUCACUUUGGAUUUGUAGCUGGUCUAUUUCUAGAAAUUAUAUUGGCCAUGCAAUCAUGACUUAUUUAUCAAUUCUAUUGGUUGCAUGUACUCUUGGAACUUGCUAUCAUGUCUUUAACAAAAUUCUUCUAUCAUCA